rnacentral:tRNA from 1 species
GCCUAGUUAGCUUAGUUGGUAGUGCGUCUGCCUUGUAAGCGCUACUUUUUACUUAAGUUAUAUCUGUAAGCGCUAGGCCGCGGGUUCGAUUCCCGCCCGGGGCG